CACAAACUCCAAACCUUCAAUCAAACUAUAAAUCUAUUUGUCCCACAAAUCAUUCUCUAAAUCUUGUUCAGUGUUUCCUCCAGACUCCUGAAUGUUUGACUUGUACAAUCUGAGGCGAGAGUCGAGUCAGCUAAAUGACUUCAUCUUCACGUUGGAGCUGCUAAACCGUGUGGAAUCACCGGCUGUGAAAAGUGCUGCUGCAGCUCGCUGACUGGCUGGGAAACAUCACCUGCUGAUGCAUCUUAACUUUGACUUUAAACGCUCUGCGACAAAUCAAUACUUCACUACGCUGCACCUACUCAUGUAGACAUCAUUGCACCUGCUAAUCCUCACACUAACACUUUCUCAAUCAGCCAAUGAAGUCAUUACUCGCACCAGGGGCUUUUGCUUCAUCUGGUUUUCUUUUAUUCUCACUGUGGACGGGACGGAGGCUGAAUGAAGGAACGAGGAAGGCAAAAGCACAAAAGCAUAUUGCACCCUGGAUGGUCAAACAGAGCAGGCGGAGAUGAGCUGGUAUAAAUACUGUGGAGGUGAUUAGGGAACGAGGAACAGGUGAGCAGGUGGAUGGAGUCAGGUGACCGAUGGGAAAGACUGAGAGCAUCUAGUGGAAGGAGGGAAGUCUGAAGGAAGUGAGGAGUGGCACCGAUGUUUGAACUUUAAGAGGAGACACCACAUGGGAAAAGGCUGGCGAUGGACGCAAACAGACUCAUGCUACACAGCGGCUAGCCGGGUCCCCGCCGCCCGCCGGACGCCGGACGCCGGACGCCACAGAGCUCAGGGAGACGAGAGGCAGAAUUUAUCUCUGACAGGCAGCUUUCUCCCAAAACUCUUCCUCCACGUUUCUCCACCAGGAACCUCUUUUUUAUUCUCGUCAUAAAACAAAGUAAAACGACUUCCUGCUUCUAACAGAGAGUCUUUGCACUCAAAGCUUUGUGUGAUGAAAUUAAACUUCUAGCAGAGAAAGCGCCGGCUUUCAUCGAGGUAUCGCAGCAACAGCAGCAAACGUGUUUCCAACAAGCAUUAGUUCAGCACUGCUAACGCUAAUAAAAGACGUUCCCGGUGGACACAGA